rnacentral:misc_RNA from 1 species
GAGGUUGCAAUAUCAGUGGAACCGUUGAAGGUGAAGAACUGGAUUCUCCCUGAGAUGCCUGGGUUGAUAACUGAUUUUCUGAUCUCUCUGGAUGAUCGCUUUCUCUAUUUUGUCAACUGGCUCCAUGGGGAUGUGAGGCAGUACAACAUCGAGGAUCCUGCAAAGCCAGUAUUGACUGGUCAAGUAUGGGUUGGAGGGCUCAUUCAGAAGGGAAGUGAUGUA